ACACUACUUACAACAUAGUAUGGCAAACAAGAAUAAAAGUUUUCUUUUACAAGAAUAAAAAAUUAUAUGGUUGAGAGUGAAGUAAUAGAUUUCAUGUUAUGAUAGUAGUUACUAUCAAUAUCAUGGUUGUUACGCGUAACGGGAAAUUAGGGUUCGAUUCCGGGGAGGGAGUCUGACAAACCGGACUCGGACAUUUCGCCGCCGGACUAUUCGCCGCUGACCCAUUUCGCCGCUGACCGUUUCGCCGCCGGACACUUCGCCGCCACCAGGACACUUCGCAGCCAGACUCUUGAUAUAUAAAUUUAUUAUUAACGCCUUUUCGAAAAAUUAUAAUUAUUCUAGCCUAAACCUUCAUUGCACAAGUCCUUAAAAUCCAGUAUAAUGAUAAAAAAAUUAAUUAUUUAUAUAAUGUCACAAAUUAUUUAAAUUUAAUUUGUACUUAAUUUAAUUAUUAUAAUUAAAUGUUAUCAUAAUUAUAAUAUUCAUUGUUAUUCUUUCAUUUUAACAAUUAAUACUAUUGAAAUAACUAUAUUUCAAGUAUACUAAUGCUAUAAUUUAUAUGUAUAGGUAAUAACAAUGUGGUAUAAUUAUUAAUUAUUAAUGUAUAUACUUAGCGUCGUAUCAUAAAUUAGCAUACCCAGUUUUUGAAAAUUUUGUAUAUUUUUAAUGAACAAAGUAUAAAAUACUCAAAAAUUCUGUAUCCUCUUGGAUAGCUAUUUAAUAAUUUUAGAAAUUAAAUUAAAACAACUUGAGUCAAUGUUAUAAAUUGUUAUUUAAAAAAAAAUUGUCACUUUUAAAAUAAACUAUUCAAGCAAUUUAAAUGGUACAUAUGAGUAUCGAAUCGUAUGGAUGCGAAUAACAAGAUACUUUAUUAUUUUGUAUUAUUAUUUAUUGUGUAUAAGAUAUUUUGUUUAACAAUAAAUCAAAGUUUUAGAAUGGUUAAUUAGGGUAAUUUUUGUUUUAAGAAUACAACAUAUUAAUUACUUUAAUUUAUUCUUAUAAUAGUUGUAAUCGUAUAUUUUAAAACGAACUUUAUUAGGCUACCCAGUAGUAUUUUGAAUAUUUUAAAUAUAAAAUAAUACUAUUUUUGGAUAGCUUAUUACUUAUCAAAACAACAUCAAGAAAUUUUUUAUUUGUUAUUGUAAUAUAAAAAUUAUUAUUUGUUGUGAAUUGUUAUUGUAAUAUAAAUACUAUUUGCCAAUCUAUAAUAUUAGAACUGUUUUGAUUUAAACACUAUUAUUAAUUGAGAUACUAACUGGACGAGUGUAAAAACAAAAUGUUUUAAUUUUAUCAGACUGAGUGUUAUUAUAAAAUAACUUUUAGUAAUUGAGGAGUUAAAAUAAUUUAAUCAUGUUAACUUUGCCAUUGUUAUAAGUUAUGUUGAACAUUUAAUGAAUAUUAGUUAAGCAUUAGAAAUAUUUAGUUCUAAUACAAUUAUUGUUAUAUCAAAACUAUUGUUGAUAUUCCAUUUAAAAUAUUACAACAGGUUAUUUUUAGAAGGGUGAAUAAGCGAUAAUCACUGAUAAUAAAUAUUCACCUGCAAAACAUCACUGUAAACAUAAUAUUACAUGUUCUCUAACCUAGAAUUUGCAAAUUAAUUUAAACUUAAAAUCAUGAUUUCCUAUUUUGUUUGCUUUGUUAAUUUGGGGCGUAAUCAUAUAAGUUUAAGUAUUGUAAUUUUUAAAAUGUGGUAAUACAGCAGUUUUACUUUAGUCAUGGAAAUCAGUACUAACUUUAUUAAGGUUCUUAUAUAUCAUUAACUUGUACAUUUUUUAAAUUAUAGUAUUCAACUAUUGCUUUUAGUUGUUUUGGCUGUUACAAUUUUAUUUUAAAUACAAAUAGGUGAUUUUUAAAUAAUUAUAGCUGUUAUAUGACAGAGUAUAAAAAUUUAGAUGGAAUUAUCAAUGUAGGAAGUGUUUUAAAUAGUAAUAAAAGUGAUGAUAGUGUAAAUGUGCUAAUUAAUUUUAAUAAAUUUUCUUCGUAUUUAUAUCUAACUGAAUCAAAUUUCAAGUAUGGAACAUAUAAACCAAUAAAAUGGACUUUGCAGUCUAUUAUGAGCUUGAUGUAUUCAACUAAUGAUGAUCGUUUUAUUUUGACUGAUGCAAAAGUAAACCAUGAACAUUUAUCUAAUGAUGCUCAAAAUACACUUACGAGACCUAAUAAAUUAUUUAUUUAAAGACAAAGCUCGGGGAACUGAUUUUUAAUUUUGGAAAAUUUCUUCAAUUAUCAUUGAAAUACUUCCAAAAGAACAAGAAGUAGGAUAUAGAAAGUAUAUUUUAUACUAUCAAGUCAAAAUAAUUCUAUGCAAAAGAAGAAUUAGUGAAACAUUGACAAAAUUGUGUACGCCAGUUUUGGAGCAUAGGUGCUAUUGAAAGUAAACGAAAAAAUAAAAACUUCUCUGAAACAUUACCAAUUUUAACAUUUUCUGAUGAAGCUGAAUCAGCAAAAGUUUGGUUAAGCACAAUUGGGUUUUUACUAACUUUGAUGAGAUUAAAAAACACUGGAAAUAAAAAUGGCUGAAAUUCGAGGUUUAAAAUAGCAUUACUGGUCGUCAUUUGUCUAAAAAUUUUAAAUCAUGGCCUAUUUUAUGUAGUCCUAAAGGAUAUAAUCUGGUUUUUUGAAGAUUUUUUUAUGAAAUACCCAGAAACAAAAAACUAUUAACAUAAUUGGCUAAACUUUAUUAAAAAGUGGAUUUUGUUUUCAAAUAACUUAUUGCGCUUACAUAGAAAUUUAGUGA